UAAAAUUGGAACGAUACAGAGAUAAGUAUGACCCCUGAGCAAGGAUGACACGCAAGAUAUAGUAAGUAAAACAAAUAUC
rnacentral:snRNA from 1 species